GGGGAAUAUUGGACAAUGGGCGCAAGCCUGAUCCAGCCAUGCCGCGUGGGUGAAGAAGGCCUUCGGGUUGUAAAGCCCUUUUGUUGGGAAUAAACCACCGUACGUGUACGGGGCUGAAGGUACCUGAAGAAUAAGCAUCGGCUAACUCCGUGCCAGCAGCCGCGGUAAUACGGAGGAUGCAAGCGUUAUCCGGAUUCAUUGGGUUUAAAGGGUGCGCAGGCGGAUUGAUAAGUCAGGGGUGAAAUCCCACAGCUCAACUGUGGAACUGCCUUUGAUACUGUUAGUCUUGAGUAUAGUUGAAGUGGGCGGAAUGUGUCAUGUAGCGGUGAAAUGCUUAGAUAUGACACAGAACACCGAUCGCGAAGGCAGCUCGCUAAGCUAUAACUGACGCUCAUGCACGAAAGCGUGGGGAUCAAACA
rnacentral:rRNA from 1 species